rnacentral:lncRNA from 1 species
UACUGCCCUGAAAUCUAUAUCUCCAAAUAAUUAUAUAUAGAAAAUAUUACAUAAAUAGACAACUUAAGAUAUCAUAAUCUUUAAAAUUUUCUAUUAGUUAAAAAAAUUACAAAAAUUCCCUCACGAUACAUCCCUAUCCUCUUUCGAAUACAUCCUUAGUUAGCCUUUCCCCUUUCGAAUACAUCCUUAGUUAGCCUUUCCCCUUUCGAAUACAUCCUUAGUUAGCCUUUCCCCUUUCGAAUACAUCCUUAGUUAGCCUUUCCCCUUUCGAAUACAUCCUUAGUUAGCCUUUCCCCUUUCGAAUACAUCCUUAGUUAGCCUUUCCCCUUUCGAAUACAUUCCUCCCCUCUCAGAUACAUCCAUGAGCUAUGUAUCCGCAGGUUGCUUAAUUUAUCCGAAAUCCUAUGGUUUUUAAGAAAUUUUUAUAAUUUAAAAAAGAUUAGAGAUAUAAUAUAAUUAGUUCUUUUAAGAGAAUAAGAUUUAUGUAAUAUAGAAGCUCACC